ensembl:lncRNA
UUCACUUGUGUCCUUUGCUACUGUAGAACCAAGAGAUGAGUAUUGCUCAAUCUGUGGACUCAAAGAUGUCCCAAAAACUGCAACAACUGAAGCAGUUGUUAUUGACUGGACCCAAUGUGAGACAUGCAAGCGGUGGUUUCACGAUAUCUGCAUUACCCUAAAUAAAAGUAACUCCCCAGACACUGACUUGCCAUGGCACUGUCUCUUAUGUUAAGACAGAAUGAAAAAGGCACCAGGGCACAAGGACAGUAAGAAGACGGUAAGAAAACUAAAUAUAGAGUUACGAUAGAGAUCGUCAAUGUUAGUUUUUGAUGUGAUUUUGAAGAAAAUAAUAAAUUAAGAGAAAGAAAUGUCUGAUUUCUUAGCCAUUUAUCGGAUCUCAGGACAAUCAGCCCAAAUAGAAAAGGAUACUUUUAAAGCCAUUUGAAG